UUUUUUUUUUUUUUUUUUUUCGUGCUAUCGAAAACAUCAGAUUAACAGGCAUUUCCAAUUCUUUGAGGUUGUUAUAAAAGCAGCAAAGAAACAACUAUAUGAGGACAAGUCCUCAAUUUUUGAUAACAGCAAUGACAAAUCUAAGACGAAUAUCAACAAGUUCUCUUCCAAUGGAGGAGGAGGAAUAUGUGGCCCUGAUGAAAGCAUUAGUUGCUGCGAUAGCUGGGAAUAGGACUAUUCCAUUUUGACCACAGUUACAGACCAUGUCCACUUGCUCGACGGUAUGCUUGAACCACUAAGAAGAAGCCUGUACAGAGAUUCAGAUGACGAAUGAUGUAUGUUAUGAGAAGGUCAUGGCUAGAGCAGGUAGGCUUCAAGUCAUAUUUGUUCACUCUAGGAAAGAGAGAGUGAAAACUAGAAGAGGUUAGUGCAAUCCGUUAGAUUUUACAGACCGAAAUGAGUCAUGUUAGGUGCAAUGAUCCCAAAGACUUGUUGCUGUAUGGGUUCACAAUUCAUCGUGCCGGUACGGCGAGAACAGACCGUUGUCUGAUGAAGGUACUUUUAGAUGAAGGGCACAUACAAUUAUUGGUUUUUACUGCAACCUUGCAUGGGGUGUCAAUUUAACAGCACACACUUUGAUCAUCAAGGGCACUCAGAUUUACAAUCCUGAGCGUCGAGCAUGGGAUGAACUAAGUCCUUCGGAUGUAACUCAGAUGCUUGGUCGUGCAGGAAGGCCUCAGUAUGACGCCUCUUGGGAAGGGAUUUAUCAUGACUGGACACAGUGAGCUGUACUAUUAUCUCUUGAUCAUGAACUACCAACUGUCCAUUGCAAGUCAGUUUGUGUGGAAAUUGGCUGACCAGCUAAUGCUGAAAUUGUUCUUGGAACAUAAGAGUGCUAUAGAAGAAUGCAACAGGCGUAACUGUACAUACUUGAACGUCCACAUGGUGAGGAAUCCAACACUUUUUGGUUUGCAGCUGAUGUUCUGAGUAGGGACAUGACUUUGGAAGAAAGGAGGCUGAUUUGUGAGACAAGACAAGAAGAUGAAACUUGAGAAGUGUUUAAACCUUGUACCUAUUUCUGUGGAGGAAAGCUUGCAAAACCCAGUGUCAAAAUUACUGUUUUGCUCGAUGGCUACCUUUCACUGCCAAAGCUUGAAGAACUCUCACUGGCUUCCAGUACGGUGUUCAUCACUCAGGAAUGGUGAAACUCCAAGAUCUGAACAUUUUAUGAACAUCCUUGUUAGGCUGCCCGUAAAGUCAAUCUCACGUUUCAGAGGUGUAUCCAAAGCCUGGUGCAAUUUACAGGAAGAUUCAAAUUUUGUGAAAAAAAUACCUUAACAAUUCAAUUAAAAGGACCGUAUUCAGUGUGGGGAUGUCAGAUUUUAUCACUCCUCAUAGUCAUGCUUUCAAAGAUCCACGUGCAUAUUCAUACCUCAAUAAUGCUGGAAGUGUGGCUUUAUCAGCUUUCUCGUUGUCAUACACAGCAAAGAGAGGUUCUGAAAGGCAGCAAGAAGUAAGUUAUUGUUUUGCUUUACUGGGUGAUUUUAUCAGCUUUUACCUGCACUGCUUCCUUCAAUUAGAUGAACAGAGGUCAGCAAAAGCUAAAUUGGCUGCUAUUGACUUUGCUAUUAAAUCUUCCACUCAAUUUUGAAUCUGGGAGUAGUGGUAUUAUAAAACUUUGGCUGGCCAAGUGAGCACCUUUGGUCCAUGAUGAAAAUACAAAAACUAAAUGAAGCCGCUAGUACUUGCAUUGUAUCAGUAUUUACCCAUUUUAUUAAACAUCAGUCCUUAACUUCAUUCUCAGUUUAUCAGUUGAGGAACAAAAUUCUAUCAGAUGACCAGUGAAGCAGUACAUCCAGCGUGUAGAGGUUGGCCUUAUGAAUUUUGUACAAAGCAAGAAUGAGAGACAGUGUUCCAAAUCUUUCCAUUAUCAGUCAGAUGUUGUUGGAACUUCCUCCGAAGAGGGAUACACUGUAGUUUGGACGAAAAGUAACUUUUUUCGAAGGUAUUCUGCGGGUUCCGUUGACAGAGCGAUGGUGUCAGGAGAUGGAAUUCCCUGCAGAAAUCGUCCCAGUUCACAGUCUCUGCUGGUCAAGCUCCUUCUGAUGAAACUCAUGAGAACAUCUAUCGCAGUUUCGAGGCUGGUUCCAGAACUGAUAUUCCUAUUUCUAGAAGAAGUAUCUGAUGUACAAUGCCAUUACCUCAGCUGAAAGCAAAACAUCCUGGACAACCCAGCCUGAAACUGUAGAUUAUAGUGUGUGUUUUGGGAGUUCUUUGUCAACUCCGCGUGUAGAUACAAACAGGCACGUGUCCUCUAUUCUUGGUGGGAAGACUGAGUUGAAGCCUCCCAGUGAAAGUUGUUGAAAUUUUUUAAUAUUUUUGAAGAUAUACGAGCAUAGUGGUGUUGCUCGUAUAGAGCUCCAGGAACUCUAGUGGUGAAGGUGGAAGCAAUGAUUUUGUAAAUUUGAACUUUAUCUUCUAUUGAAUUGAAUCUUACUUGCUUGCUUGCUUACAAAUGGUGUACAACAUGCCUAUUUAUAGGCUUCAUAUUACUUCACUCUAGUUGUAUCUAGAGUUUUCUAAAUGUAAACUAAUUUGACCUACUUGACUUUCUCUAGAAUACCCUAGUAGACAUUUAAAGUCUCUUAGGACUUUGGCUCCUCUUAGUACAUUCUAGAAUACUUGUUUCCUACAUUCCUUUGUACUUGUCUAGACCAUUCUAGACUAUUACAAAUUACAUGUUCCAACACCCACUUUUAAUUUGUAGUGGUCUUUGAUUUUGAUCUCACCCAAUCUUAGCUCCCUCUUAGCUGCUUAUGCUCGCCGUUGCCUGCUUAUGCCCGUUGUAAUCAUUUUGACAUCAUCUCGUCUUAAUUUCGCCAUGUGCUCGACUCCAUUGCUUUUGUAUGUCUUCAUUAGUUUUAAUUGGUUUGGUAAUGGUGGAUACUUGUCCACAUUUCUGGCUUUUACGAAGUUAGAUCGUCAUAGAUUCAGAAGCUCCUUCUUGUGCUGAAUUCCUCCUUCUCCUUCACGGUUUACACCGUCUUCAGUACAGAGGCUUUGCCUUCUGUUUAUAUUCCUCGCCUUUCACGAAACUUGACCAUCGUAGGUUUAGAGGUUCCGCCAACUCAACUUUGUGAGUAGAAUAUUUUUACAAGAUGACUCUAAUUUUUGCCAUCUAUGUUAUUUGAGGAGGCAUUUCUUUGAUGCUCUCUUCCCUCAAAUUUUUCUUUAGAAAUACACUCUUUUGUGCAUCUCCGUGGGAGGAUGGAAACUUCUCUUCUUAU